rnacentral:rRNA from 1 species
UACAGAGGGUGCAAGCGUUGUUCGGAAUUACUGGGCGUAAAGGGCUCGUAGGUGGCCAACUAAGUCAGACGUGAAAUCCCUCGGCUUAACCGGGGAACUGCGUCUGAUACUGGAUGGCUUGAGAUUGGGAGAGGGAUGCGGAAUUCCAGGUGUAGCGGUGAAAUGCGUAGAUAUCUGGAGGAACACCGGUGGCGAAGGCGGCAUCCUGGACCAACACUGACGCUGAGGAGCGAAAGCCAGGGGAGCAAACGGG